rnacentral:ncRNA from 1 species
UCGAACGCCUCACGAUGUGCGCAGAACAUCGUAAUGAUACAAUUACGUUUCACAAUGUACGGAUUAACAUUGUAGUUACAAUUACGCUUCACGAUGUGCGCCAAAACAUCGU